rnacentral:rRNA from 1 species
AUACAGGGGGUGCGAGCGUUAAUCGGAAUUACUGGGCGUAAAGAGUACGUAGGCGGUUGCUUAAGUCAGAUGUGAAAGCCCCGGGCUCAACCUGGGAACUGCAUUUGAAACUGAGUGACUAGAGUUUAAGAGAGGGGAGUAGAAUUCCGGGUGUAGCGGUGAAAUGCGUAGAGACCCGGAGGAAUACCAGUGGCGAAGGCGGCUCCCUGGCUUAAAACUGACGCUGAGGUACGAAAGCGUGGGUAGCAAACAGGAUUAGAAACCCCAGUAGUCC